AGGGAUGCUGCUUUGAUUAUAAGAAAAGGAACAUAGUUUAACUAAACAACCAGCUAUGGAUUUCAACAACUUAAUAUCAAAAGAAAUGAAUUCAUUUACGUUAUUAUCUUAUACCAACGUGAGCAACAUGAGGAAUUAGAGCAGAUUAUCUGCAAAAAUUUAGGGAGAAGGAAAAAAAUGUUAAUUACACGAAUACGGACAAUCAAUAAUUAAUCAUACAAUUACCAAAUCUAAUCACAAACUACAACAUAGCUAGUAACAAAAUCCAGAUCUAAUUUUUAAUCAUCUUGCAUAAAAAAAAAACAAUCUCUAUUCACAUGCUUUGUAUCUUCAAUUGAGACCUGAAUCUUUGUAGAUGUACAAAUUAAACCAAGUUGUCACUACAAAUAAAAGACUCAUUAGAUAUUAUAAUCAUAAAAGGAAAGCUUUAACCAAAGUACCUUAAUUCUGAUUAUAAAGCCAAUUUAACCGUCAAGAAACAUAUACCAAUAAAGCUAAAAAGCAAAGUUUUCUGUUCUUUUUUAAAAUUCAUUUGCUAAGUAUUAAAACUGAAACCUGCUUAUCUGAAGGUACCAUAUAUGUUCUCGUCAUAUAAACAGACUAUGUUGGAAUGGUUGCUAUGUGAUUAGUUUUAGUUGGAUAACAAACAAAUGAAAACUGAACCUCAACCAAUUCACUUAAAAUUUGUAUAUAUUUACCAAAAUGUCAUUACUCCCAAAAUCACUUGCUCAAACCUCGAUUUAGUCCGUCCAGAUGCAAAAUUUCAUUAACAAGCUUAACAAAAUUAUCACGUUUAACGUGAACAAAAUUAGCUCAAAUAAAACUUACUUUACCAAACAUAUCUACUCUGUGAAAUCAAUUAUUCAAGGUCAAGAUGAGAGGUCUUAUAUAGUUGCAUUAAAUAAAUAAAAUAAAAGUUCAAAAACAGAAUUUCAACAAUACAAACAACACUGUAUUCCAGUCAUAUAAACAGGUUAUGUACAUGAGGCGACUUUAUCAAGAUUUACAAAUUGAAGAAGAGGAAUAAAGAACCUUUGUGCAGAAAAUUCACCGGAAUCAACGGACCUCCGGACUCGCCGAAAAAUCUGUAAAAACUCACAGCUCAACAGAAGCGCAACAACAGAUUCAACCGCAGUCUUAAACCAAAGCAGUGCUUAUGAACCCAGCAAAAUAAAAAUUACCAGUAGCAUCAAACUUCACUCAAAAGCUUUAAGGAAAAUCUAAGAAUGUGCAGCAAUUUACGUCAAACUUAGGAACAACCUUUAAUUUUUCUUUUUGGUCGACUUUAUUCUGUUCCUGAGAACGCAGUAGCUUUGGAAAGGCUAAUGGAGGAAUCCGAUUAUGUUCUAUCGUUUUAGAUGUUAGGGGUGGCGGCCUAUCUCGUUGGGAGCUAGGGAGCGAUGGCUGGAGGAGGUGAAGGAAUGGAGGGGAUUUCCGCCGUUUCUCCAGGGGUAGGGGUCUCUAUCGCUUAGGUCUUGUUCUUUAAUCGGGUCGGGUCAACCCGGUCUGGGCUAG
rnacentral:lncRNA from 1 species